UCGUACGAGAACUCUUUAGCUUGCUAAAGAUAGUAAAGUGGCGCACGGGUGAGUAACGCGUGGGUAAUCUACCUCCGAAUCGGGGAUAACCCGCCGAAAGGCGAGCUAAUACCGGAUAAUAUCUUUAAAACUUCGGUUUUAAAGAUCAAAGGUGGUCUCUACAUGUAAGCUACUGUUUGGAGAUGAGCCCGCGUACCAUUAGCUUGUUGGUAGGGUAAUGGCCUACCAAGGCUUCGAUGGUUAGCUGGUCUGAGAGGAUGAUCAGCCACACUGGAACUGACACACGGUCCAGACUCCUACGGGAGGCAGCAGUGAGGAAUUUUGCGCAAUGGGGGAAACCCUGACGCAGCAACGCCGCGUGAGUGAUGAAGGCUUUCGGGUCGUAAAGCUCUGUCAAGUGGGAAGAACAUGCUUGAUGCUAAUACCAUCUAGCACUGACGGUACCACUGAAGGAAGCACCGGCUAACUCCGUGCCAGCAGCCGCGGUAAUACGGGGGGUGCAAGCGUUAUUCGGAAU
rnacentral:rRNA from 1 species